CUUCAGUGCAACAGACUCAGAGCUGGUGGAGAGACAGAGCUUGCAACUGGAGGAGUUGGAAGAUUGAGAAAGCCUAGAGUGGAAGAGGAAGGGGGCUUCAGGCCCAGUGCACAAUUGCCACCUAGUGACCGUGUUGAAUGGCGGUAUUUGUGCUUCUCACCUCAACCUGGCAGCCUGACACUGAUUCCUGAAUGCCGUGAUACCGUCACAACUGCAAGUCAUUCUCAUAUAAAAUUUGAGUUUCCCUAGUCUGUACCUGUGAGAACUUUGGACAAUAUACAAGUUCAAGUCACCAACCAUGUUGUCUUGCUGACUAGCUCAUGUGACGAGACUAACGUUUGGGUUACUUGCUGCUACCAUUGUUCUUCUGCCUGUUGCACCCUCUGCAGUCACUGAUCACACACAGGGGAGAAGAGACAGGACGGUGGGCCAUGUCAUUCAAGUCUGUUCUCUGCAGACAGGAAGUGGAAGUGCCGUACAUAUAGCUGAACCCUGGGAUUCAAGCUGACAGCUCUGAUGAUGUGGCGAUCUAUAUUCUGGAGGAUGAAAGCAGAACAGGAGACUGAGCUUGCU